UGGUGUGACGGCGUGCCUUUUGCAUAAUGAACCUACGAGUUACUUUUUCCGGCGAGGUUAAGGAUUUCAGAUCUGCAGCCGAAGCGAAAGCGAGUCUGAACAGGGCGUAUAGUCGGAAGGAGUAGACGCGAAACCAAGUGAUCUACCCUUGGGCAGGUUGAAGGAUGGGUAACACCAUCUGGAGGACCGAACCAAUAAGCGUUGAAAAGCUUCUGGAUGACCUGAGGGUGGGGGUGAAAGGCUAAUCAAACUUGGAGAUAGCUCGUACUCCCCGAAAUGCAUUUAGGUGCAGCCUUGACUUAUACUGGCAUGAGGUAGAGCGACUGAUAAGAUGCGAGGGCUUCACCGCCUAUCAAGUCUUGACAAACUCCGAAUGCGUGUCAGUUCUAUGUCAGGAGUGAGGGCAUGGGUGCUAAGGUCCAUGUCCUAAAGGAGAACAAUCCGGACCAACAGCUAAGGUCCCGAAAUGAAUACUAAGUUGAACUAACGAAGUCAGAUUGCUAAGACAGCUAGGAUGUUGGCUUGGAAGCAGCCAUUCAUUUAAAGAGUGCGUAACAGCUCACUAGUCGAGGAGUUUGGCGUGGAUAAUAAUCGGGCAUAAGUAUUCUACCGAAGCUUUGGGAUGAGAAAUCAUCGGUAGGGGAGCAUUCCACUCGGCGUCGAAGGUGAGGCGUGAGCCUUGCUGGAGCGUGUGGAAAAGCAAAUGUAGGUAUAAGUAACGAUAAGGCAGGCGAGAAACCUGCCCGCCGAAAGACUAAGGUUUCCUGAUCAACGCUAAUCGGAUCAGGGUAAGUCGGGUCCUAAGGCUCAGCCGAACGGCGAGGCCGAUGGCAGAACCGGUUAAUAUUCCGGUACUACCUGUGGGAGUGACGUGGAGACGGAGUCGUGACAGCGCCGCGGACUGACGGAAUAGUCCGUUGAAGGGUGUAGAUGCUGAUUGUUCCAGGCAAAUCCGGAGCAAGAGUCGAACCUGACAGUAUGGAGCGUUCUUAGAACAAUCCAAUAGUGCGUGUAAUCAUACUUCCAAGAAAAUCCGCUAAACUUAAUCCUGCAGGUACCCGUACCGCAAACGGACACACGUAGUCGGGUUGAAUAUACUAAGGCGCUUGAGUGAUUCACGGUUAAGGAACUAGGCAAACUGACCCUGUAACUUCGGGAUAAAGGGUCCUCGCUUUACGGCGAGGCGCAGAGAAUAGGUCCAGGCAACUGUUUAACAAAAACACAGGGCUGUGCAAAAUUGAAAGAUGAAGUAUACAGCCUGACACCUGCCCGGUGCUGGAAGGUUAAGAGGAGAUGUCAUCGCAAGAGAAGCAUUGAAUUGAAGCCCCAGUAAACGGCGGCCGUAACUAUAACGGUCCUAAGGUAGCGAAAUUCCUUGUCGGGUAAGUUCCGACCUGCACGAAUGGUGUAAUGAUCUGGACGCUGUCUCAACCGUGAGCUCAGUGAAAUUGUAGUAUCGGUGAAGAUGCCGAUUACCCGCGAUG
rnacentral:rRNA from 1 species